rnacentral:rRNA from 1 species
AUUGAACGCUGGCGGCAUGCUUUACACAUGCAAGUCGAACGGCAGCGCGGGCUUCGGCCUGGCGGCGAGUGGCGAACGGGUGAGUAAUAUAUCGGAACGUACCCAAGAGUGGGGGAUAACGUAGCGAAAGUUACGCUAAUACCGCAUACGAUCUAAGGAUGAAAGCAGGGGAUCGCAAGACCUUGUGCUCCUGGAGCGGCCGAUAUCUGAUUAGCUAGUUGGUGAGGUAAAGGCUCACCAAGGCAACGAUCAGUAGCUGGUCUGAGAGGACGACCAGCCACACUGGAACUGAGACACGGUCCAGACUCCUACGGGAGGCAGCAGUGGGGAAUUUUGGACAAUGGGGGCAACCCUGAUCCAGCAAUGCCGCGUGAGUGAAGAAGGCCUUCGGGUUGUAAAGCUCUUUUGUCAGGGAAGAAAAGGCUGUGGCUAAUAUCCACAGCUGCUGACGGUACCUGAAGAAUAAGCACCGGCUAACUACGUGCCAGCCGCCGCGUAACAC